rnacentral:lncRNA from 1 species
GCCUGGCUGCGAGGCCCUUCCUCUUUUCAUGACUCUGGGAGGCUCUGGACUAAACAAGAGCAGCGUCUACAGUGACUGCCGUGGGCUGCUGCACCUGAGUCCAGGAUCCCACUUGUUUCUACCCCCUGCGCAUCCCAGGCCUUUCUUCACCUCCAGAAGCAGUGGUUUCGGAGCUGCCUAUUUCUGUCUAAAAGUGGCGUCUGCAGUAGCCCAUGUUGUGCUGCUUCUGCCAAUGGCCAGGAUGGGCGUGGGCAGGGACUCCUGAUGGGUGGACGUGACGGGGCCACCUUAGGAAGUCCACCAGCCCCUUCCAAGUGUUCAUUGUUGGACAAGGCUUUUUUUUUUUUUUUUGGAAAGAAACCUGGCUAGAGAGGGGGAGAGUGUGGGGCCCACAGUGGAAAAGCCUUGGCCGGGCAGCCAGGCCUCUCUGCUGGGCCCACGUUUGCUCUCUUGAUGCCUCAGACCCCAGGAAGCCCAGAGACCACAGGUCGGCUCCAAGUUCAUGUUUCUCCCUUUUCCUUAGACAUGACAUCCUCGGAAACAUCUCGUAAUCAGCAGCUUUCGGAAGUAAAUCAUUGUGAGCUGGAAGGACGGGAAACAUAUCUGGGGAGCUGGGGUUGGGGGUGGAGAGCCUCUUGGGGGGCAGAGGUGGGUUGGGCACCACUCCACAACUGGGGAUGAAAUAAAGAGAGACAGAACUCACAUGCAUAUGAGUGGCUUUUCCAUGUCACCUGUCUUCUUGGGAGAGGCCUAGACAAUGCAGCUGUGGAUGUGAUUAAUGAGCCACCGGCCACACCUGGCACAGCGGUGCAGGUGGAAGCCAGGGAACUUCCCUUUCUCCCUGUCAGUUAUCCUGCGCUGUGCUGGGAACACGCUCUGGUUUCUGCAGAGGAGAUAAGCAAGUCCUGGGGAGAACAUGGACGUUUGGCAGCCAGCGAGAAAGAAAGGAGGGGAAGGCCUGGAGAUUGGGGUGACAGCCCUUAUUGGUGUCACUGAAACGUGUGUGGUUAAUCUCAGUCCUUGGGAUCCACAUAAAACCACGUGAAUGUGCUUCUCAUCUAAUAAAUUAUAUAUGAAGGAUGCUGAAAGCAGGGCCUUGGAGAGAGAUGUGUGUACCCGUGUUCACAGUUCACAGCAGCAUUCCUCCAGUUACCAAGAGGUGGAAGCAACCCAAAGUCCAUCGAUGGAAAAAUGGACACUCAUCAUUGAAAUCCAGCCGCCAUGUUGUGAGGAAGCACAUGGUGCUUCCAUGUUGUGAGGUCACAUCGUGAGGCCACGCGUAGCUGUCCGGCAGACAAGCCUAGCUCAGGUCCUAGCCAAAAGUCAGUGUGAAUCCCUGGGCAUGUGAAUGACUGAGCUUCAGAUAAUUUUAGCCCCCUGCCUUUGAACUGUCCCGGCUGACAGUGAGCAGAGCAGAGACAAGCUUUCCUUGUCAAGCCCUGCCUGAAUUGCAGAUUCAAG